CGACGCUUCCACUGUAAUGAUCCUUCCGUAGGUGAACCUGCGGAAGGAUCAUUACAGUGGAAGCGUCGAGCCGCGUAUCCCGCCCCGGGGGGGGGAGCCCGCGGCCCGUACCUCACCACCCUUGUCUACUGAACCAAUGUUGCCUUGGCAGGCCUGCCGCUCGCGGCUGCCGGGGGUCGCCGCGCAGGCGCCCCGGGCUCGCGCCUGCCAGAGGAGCCUUUGAACUCGAUCUGAAGAACUGUCAGUCUGAGCGUAACAGCAAGAAUCAAACAAAACUUUCAACAACGGAUCUCUUGGUUCUGGCAUCGAUGAAGAACGCAGCGAAAUGCGAUAAGUAAUGUGAAUUGCAGAAUUCCGUGAAUCAUCGAAUCUUUGAACGCACAUUGCGCCCGGGGGUAUUCCCACGGGCAUGCUCUCCCGAGCGGCUAUCUCCCUCCCCGGUAAUGGACAUACGGCGUCUCAUGUUCCUCCAACUGUGAUUGGUGUAGUAUUACAGUUUAUUCCUAACGAUUCGUAUUCCCUCGCACACGUAAGACUACCCCUUGAACUUAAGCAUAUCACUAGGCGGAGGA
rnacentral:misc_RNA from 1 species